rnacentral:rRNA from 1 species
AGAGUUUGAUCCUGGCUCAGAUUGAACGCUGGCGGCAUGCCUUACACAUGCAAGUCGAACGACGCUAGGGGCAACUCUAGCGAGUGGCGAACGGGUGAGUAAUACAUCGGAACGUGUCCUGUCGAGGGGGAUAACCAGUCGAAAGACUGGCUAAUACCGCAUGACCUCGUAAGAGAAAAGCGGGGGACCGCAAGGCCUCGCGCGAUUGGAGCGGCCGAUGUCGGAUUAGCUAGUUGGCGGGGUAAAAGCCCACCAAGGCGACGAUCCGUAGCUGGUUUGAGAGAACGACCAGCCACACUGGGACUGAGACACGGCCCAGACUCCUACGGGAGGCAGCAGUGGGGAAUUUUGGACAAUGGGCGCAAGCCUGAUCCAGCCAUGCCGCGUGUGUGAAGAAGGCCUUCGGGUUGUAAAGCACUUUCGGCCGGAACGAAAUCGCCCGUGUUAACAGCGCGGGUGGAUGACGGUACCGGAAGAAGAAGCACCGGCUAACUACGUGCCAGCAGCCGCGGUAAUACGUAGGGUGCAAGCGUUAAUCGGAAUUACUGGG